UUUUGGCUGACUUAUCUUCGUACCAAAGCAGACGUGAAACUGUCAUCCGCAGCCUUAUCCUGUACCUCAGUGAGAAAGAAGAAGAGCUUUUUGAAGAUUGCCUGGAGGACACUUGUAGUGAUGCCGCUGAACACACCCUUAAGAUACUGGUCAUCCAUGGUGCUGAUCAAGAGGAUCCAGUCGAUGUGUCCAUCAUGCGGCAGUACUGCUAAAGCUUGCACACUGCUGAUGGGGCUUAUCUAUGCCCUCAACCUGGCAUACACCCCAAAACUGCUACACCUUUGAGGUGUUCCAGAAACAUUUCCUGGACCUGAAUGGUGUUAAGAUGUCCCCAAAAGUGCAAUCUUUAUAGUUGAAGUUGCUCUCUUAAAUGCUAUCAACAUGGUACAUGCUGUACAAUCGAAGCUGUUGGUAGACUCCAAGUUACAUCUCCAGUUCAAAUAUUUUUUACAAAAUCUUGACUAAUUUUUACUUCUUGAAAUGUUUUAAUGUGUUAAGGUUUUAAGAGCAUAAGGAGCACUUAGUAUCGGUUUGAAUGUUGUUAUUGCAUUAAAGGGUUAGUUCACCCAAAAAUCAAAAUUAGGUCAUUAAUAACUUACCCUCAUGUUGUUCCAAACCUGUAAGACCUCCAUUUAUCUUCAGAACACAGUUUAAAAUAUUUUAGAUUUAGUCCGCUCUCAGACUAGGAC